UUGGUAGAGCGGUGGACUGUAAGAUGCUCCUUGUGUGAAACGCCGUGAUCCUAAGCUCGCUGGUUCAACUCUAGCUCCAAGCACCUCCUUGUCAUUGGAAAUACCCCCAAGCCUUGUCUUUAUCUGUCAACUCCUCCAAAAUGUCAAAACACAAAGAAGAUAACUCUUUCUUAAAUUUUCAACCAUCAAUUUUUUAUUCACCCAGCCUAAAAGUCCUGAUUAUCAGUUCUGGGUCCCGGGCAAUGACUGUUGGGUACAAACUGCAAAGCUUUGUUCUGCAGGUAGGGCUGGGCUUUUCAUUGACCAUGGGUUGGAAUAGUUCUGUGGGCAUAGUGUGUCUUCGAAGCCACUAUGUUUUCUGCACUUGUGACUAGAGAGCACCUUGAUAGCUCAGUUGGUAGAGCGGUGGACUGUAAGAUGCUCCUUGUGUGAAACGCCGUGAUCCUAAGGUCGCUGGUUCAACUCCAGCUCGAAAGCACCUCCUUGUCAUUGGAAAUACCCCCCAAGCCUUGUCUUUAUCUGUCAACUCCUCCAAAAUGUCAAAACACAAAGAAGAUUACUCUUUCUUAAAUUUUCAACCAUCAAUUUUUUAUUCACCCAGCCUAAAAGUCCUGAUUAUCAGUUCUGGGUCCCUGGCAAUGACUGUUGGGUACAAACUGCAAAGCUUUGUUCUGCAGGUAGGGCUGGGCUUUUCAUUGACCAUGGGUUGGAAUAGUUCUGUGGGCAUAGUGUGUCUUCGAAGCCACUAUGUUUUCUGCACUUGUGACUAGAGAGCACCUUGAUAGCUCAGUUGGUAGAGCGGUGGACUGUAAGAUGCUCCUUGUGUGAAACGCCGUGAUCCUAAGGUCGCUGGUUCAACUCCAGCUCCAAGCACCUCCUUGUCAUUGGAAAUACCCCCAAGCCUUGUCUUUAUCUGUCAACUCCUCCAAAAUGUCAAAACACAAAGAAGAUAACUCUUUCUUAAAUUUUCAACCAUCAAUUUUUUAUUCACCCAGCCUAAAAGUCCUGAUUAUCAGUUCUGGGUCCCUGGCAAUGACUGUUGGGUACAAACUGCAAAGCUUUGUUCUGCAGGUAGGGCUGGGCUUUUCAUUGACCAUGGGUUGGAAUAGUUCUGUGGGCAUAGUGUGUCUUCGAAGCCACUAUGUUUUCUGCACUUGUGACUAGAGAACACCUUGAUAGCUCAGUUGGUAGAGCGGUGGACUGUAAGAUGCUCCUUGUGUGAAACGCCGUGAUCCUAAGGUCGCUGGUUCAACUCCAGCUCCAAGCACCUCCUUGUCAUUGGAAAUACCCCAAAGCCUUGUCUUUAUCUGUCAACUCCUCCAAAAUGUCAAAACACAAAGAAGAUAACUCUUUCUUAAAUUUUCAACCAUCAAUUUUUUAUUCACCCAGCCUAAAAGUCCUGAUUAUCAGUUCUGGGUCCCUGGCAAUGACUGUUGGGUACAAACUGCAAAGCUUUGUUCUGCAGGUAGGGCUGGGCUUUUCAUUGACCAUGGGUUGGAAUAGUUCUGUGGGCAUAGUGUGUCUUCGAAGCCACUAUGUUUUCUGCACUUGUGACUAGAGAGCACCUUGAUAGCUCAGUUGGUAGAGCGGUGGACUGUAAGAUGCUCCUUGUGUGAAACGCCGUGAUCCUAAGGUCGCUGGUUCAACUCCAGCUCCAAGCACCUCCUUGUCAUUGGAAAUACCCCCAAGCCUUGUCUUUAUCUGUCAACUCCUCCAAAAUGUCAAAACACAAAGAAGAUAACUCUUUCUUAAAUUUUCAACCAUCAAUUUUUUAUUCACCCAGCCUAAAAGUCCUGAUUAUCAGUUCUGGGUCCCUGGCAAUGACUGUUGGGUACAAACUGCAAAGCUUUGUUCUGCAGGUAGGGCUGGGCUUUUCAUUGACCAUGGGUUGGAAUAGUUCUGUGGGCAUAGUGUGUCUUCGAAGCCACUAUGUUUUCUGCACUUGUGACUAGAGAACACCUUGAUAGCUCAGUUGGUAGAGCGGUGGACUGUAAGAUGCUCCUUGUGUGAAACGCCGUGAUCCUAACGUCGCUGGUUCAACUCCAGCUCCAAGCACCUCCUUGUCAUUGGAAAUACCCCCAAGCCUUGUCUUUAUCUGUCAACUCCUCCAAAAUGUCAAAACACAAAGAAGAUAACUCUUUCUUAAAUUUUCAACCAUCAAUUUUUUAUUCACCCAGCCUAAAAGUCCUGAUUAUCAGUUCUGGGUCCCUGGCAAUGACUGUUGGGUACAAACUGCAAAGCUUUGUUCUGCAGGUAGGGCUGGGCUUUUCAUUGACCAUGGGUUGGAAUAGUUCUGUGGGCAUAGUGUGUCUUCGAAGCCACUAUGUUUUCUGCACUUGUGACUAGAGAGCACCUUGAUAGCUCAGUUGGUAGAGCGGUGGACUGUAAGAUGCUCCUUGUGUGAAACGCCGUGAUCCUAAGGUCGCUGGUUCAACUCCAGCUCCAAGCACCUCCUUGUCAUUGGAAAUACCCCCAAGCCUUGUCUUUAUCUGUCAACUCCUCCAAAAUGUCAAAACACAAAGAAGAUAACUCUUUCUUAAAUUUUCAACCAUCAAUUUUUUAUUCACCCAGCCUAAAAGUCCUGAUUAUCAGUUCUGGGUCCCUGGCAAUGACUGUUGGGUACAAACUGCAAAGCUUUGUUCUGCAGGUAGGGCUGGGCUUUUCAUUGACCAUGGGUUGGAAUAGUUCUGUGGGCAUAGUGUGUCUUCGAAGCCACUAUGUUUUCUGCACUUGUGACUAGAGAGCACCUUGAUAGCUCAGUUGGUAGAGCGGUGGACUGUAAGAUGCUCCUUGUGUGAAACGCCGUGAUCCUAAGCUCGCUGGUUCAACUCCAGCUCCAAGCACCUCCUUGUCAUUGGAAAUACCCCCAAGCCUUGUCUUUAUCUGUCAACUCCUCCAAAAUGUCAAAACACAAAGAAGAUAACUCUUUCUUAAAUUUUCAACCAUCAAUUUUUUAUUCACUCAGCCUAAAAGUCCUGAUUAUCAGUUCUGGGUCCCUGGCAAUGACUGUUGGGUACAAACUGCAAAGUUUUGUUCUGCAGGUAGGGCUGGGCUUUUCAUUGACCAUGGGUUGGAAUAGUUCUGUGGGCAUAGUGUGUCUUCGAAGCCACUAUGUUUUCUGCACUUGUGACUAGAGAGCACCUUGAUAGCUCAGUUGGUAGAGCGGUGGACUGUAAGAUGCUCCUUGUGUGAAACGCUGUGAUCCUAAAUUCGCUGGUUCAACUCCAGCUCCAAGCACCUCCUUGUCACUGGAAAUACCCCCAUGCCUUGUCUUUAUCUGUCAACUCCUCCAAAAUGUCAAAACACAAAGAAGAUAACUCUUUCUUAAAUUUUCAACCAUCAAUUUUUUAUUCACCCAGCCUAAAAGUCCUGAUUAUCAGUUCUGGGUCCCUGGCAAUGACUGUUGGGUACAAACUGCAAAGCUUUGUUCUGCAGGUAGGGCUGGGCUUUUCAUUGACCAUGGGUUGGAAUAGUUCUGUGGGCAUAGUGUGUCUUCGAAGCCACUAUGUUUUCUGCACUUGUGACUAGAGAGCACCUUGAUAGCUCAGUUGGUAGAGCGGUGGACUGUAAGAUGCUCCUUGUGUGAAACGCCGUGAUCCUAAGGUCGCUGGUUCAACUCCAGCUCCAAGCACCUCCUUGUCAUUGGAAAUACCCCCAAGCCUUGUCUUUAUCUGUCAACUCCUCCAAAAUGUCAAAACACAAAGAAGAUAACUCUUUCUUAAAUUUUCAACCAUCAAUUUUUUAUUCACCCAGCCUAAAAGUCCUGAUUAUCAGUUCUGGGUCCCUGGCAAUGACUGUUGGGUACAAACUGCAAAGCUUUGUUCUGCAGGUAGGGCUGGGCUUUUCAUUGACCAUGGGUUGGAAUAGUUCUGUGGGCAUAGUGUGUCUUCGAAGCCACUCUGUUUUCUGCACUUGUGACUAGAGAGCACCUUGAUAGCUCAGUUGGUAGAGCGGUGGACUGUAAGAUGCUCCUUGUGUGAAACGCUGUGAUCCUAAGGUCGCUGGUUCAACUCCAGCUCCAAGCACCUCCUUGUCAUUGGAAAUAACCCCAAGCCUUGUCUUUAUCUGUCAACUCC